CCUACGGGGCGCAGCAGCCGCGGUAAUACGUAGGGGGCAAGCGUUAUCCGGAUUCACUGGGUGUAAAGGGAGCGUAGACGGCCAUGCAAGCCUGGAGUGAAAGCCCGGGGCCCAACCCCGGGACUGCUCUGGGAACUGUGCGGCUGGAGUGCGGGAGGGGCAGGCGGAAUUCCUGGUGUAGCGGUGAAAUGCGUAGAUAUCAGGAGGAACACCGGCGGCGAAGGCGGCCUGCUGGACCGCGACUGACGUUGAGGCUCGAAAGCGUGGGGAGCAAACAGGAUUAGAAACCCGGGUAGUCCUUAAGA
rnacentral:rRNA from 1 species